UACGUAGGGAGCAAGCGUUGUCCGGAAUCAUUGGGCGUAAAGCGCGCGUAGGCGGCCCUGUAAGUCCGUUGUGAAAGUCAAAGGCUCAACCUUUGAAAGCCGAUGGAUACUGCAGGGCUAGAGUCCGGAAGAGGCGAGUGGAAUUCCUGGUGUAGCGGUGGAAUGCGCAGAUAUCAGGAGGAACACCAAUAGCGAAGGCAGCUCGCUGGGACGGUGCUGACGCUAAGGCGCGAAAGCCAGGGGAGCAAACGGG
rnacentral:rRNA from 1 species